rnacentral:rRNA from 1 species
GUACACUCCUACGGGAGGCAGCAGUGGGGAAUUUUGGACAAUGGGCGAAAGCCUGAUCCAGCAAUGCCGCGUGAGUGAAGAAGGCCUUCGGGUUGUAAAGCUCUUUUGUCAGGGAAGAAACGGUGAGAGCUAAUAUCUCUUGCUAAUGACGGUACCUGAAGAAUAAGCACCGGCUAACUACGUGCCAGCAGCCGCGGUAAUACGUAGGGUGCAAGCGUUAAUCGGAAUUACUGGGCGUAAAGCGUGCGCAGGCGGUUUUGUAAGUCUGAUGUGAAAUCCCCGGGCUCAACCUGGGAAUUGCAUUGGAGACUGCAAGGCUAGAAUCUGGCAGAGGGGGGUAGAAUUCCACGUGUAGCAGUGAAAUGCGUAGAUAUGUGGAGGAACACCGAUGGCGAAGGCAGCCCCCUGGGUCAAGAUUGACGCUCAUGCACGAAAGCGUGGGGAGCAAACAGGAUUAGAAACCCGGGUAGUCCCAUGA